GACAAACGCUGGCGGCGUGCCUAAUACAUGCAAGUCGAACGACGAAAGCCUUCGGGCAAGUAAGAGUGGCGCACGGGCGAGGAACACGUAGAUAAUCUGCCCUUCAGUGGGGAAUAACUCUCCGAAAGGAGUGCUAAUACCGCAUAAGACCACAAGCUCUGCGGAGCAAGGGGUUAAAGGAUUUAUUCGCUGAAGGAUGAGUCUGCGUCCGAUUAGCUAGUUGGUGAGGUAAUGGCUUACCAAGGCAAUGAUCGGUAGAUGGUCUGAGAGGAUGAUCAUCCGCACUGGAACUGAGACGCGGUCCAGACUCCUACGGGAGGCAGCAGUAGGGAAUAUUGCACAAUGGGGGAAACCCUGAUGCAGCAACGCCGCGUGAGUGAUGAAGGCUCUAGGGUCGUAAAGCUCUGUCGUAUGGGAAGAAAAAAAUGACGGUACCAUACAAGAGAGGACCGGCCAACUUCGUGCCAGCAGCCGCCGUAA
rnacentral:rRNA from 1 species